rnacentral:rRNA from 1 species
GACGAACGCUGGAGGCGUGCUUAACACAUGCAAGUCGAACGAUGAAAUGGAGCUUGCUCCAUGGAUUAGUGGCGAACGGGUGAGUAACACGUGAAUAACCUGCCCUUAAUUUUGGAAUAACCCAGGGAAACCUGGGCUAAUACCGGAUAAGUAAACCUGUGGCAUCACAUGGUUUUGGAAAGUUUUUGGAUUAAGGAUGGAUUCGCGGCCUAUCAGCUUGUUGGUGAGGUAAUGGCUCACCAAGGCGACGACGGGUAGCCGGCCUGAGAGGGUGAAGGACCACACUGGGACUGAGACACAGCCCAGACGCCUACGGGAGGCAGCAGUGGUGAAUAUUGCGCAAUGGACGAAAGUCUGACGCAGAGACGCCUCGUGAGGGACGAAGGUCUUCGGAUUGUAAACCUCUUCCAGCAGGGACGAAGCGAAAGUGACGGUACCUGCAGAAGAAGCACCGGCUAACUAUGUGCCAGCCGCCGCCGUAA